rnacentral:rRNA from 1 species
UACGUAGGGGGCAAGCGUUGUCCGGAUUUAUUGGGCGUAAAGCGCUCGCAGGUGGUUCGAUGCGUCGUGCGUGAAAGACCCCGGCUCAACUGGGGAGGGUCGUGCGAUACGGUCGAACUGGAGGCCAGUAGGGGGAUGCGGAAUUCCGGGUGUAGUGGUGGAAUGCGUAGAGAUCCGGAGGAACACCAGCGGCGAAGGCGGCAUCCUGGACUGGUCCUGACACUCAUGAGCGAAAGCGUGGGGAGCGAGCCGG